rnacentral:rRNA from 1 species
GAUGAACGCUGGCGGCGUGCUUAACACAUGCAAGUCGAACGGAAAGGCCCAAGCUUGCUUGGGUACUCGAGUGGCGAACGGGUGAGUAACACGUGGGUGAUCUGCCCUGCACUUCGGGAUAAGCCUGGGAAACUGGGUCUAAUACCGGAUAGGACCACGUCUUGGAUGUUGUGGUGGAAAGGUUUUUCGGUGUGGGAUGAGCUCGCGGCCUAUCAGCUUGUUGGUGGGGUAAUGGCCUACCAAGGCGUCGACGGGUAGCCGGCCUGAGAGGGUGUACGGCCACAUUGGGACUGAGAUACGGCCCAGACUCCUACGGGAGGCAGCAGUGGGGAAUAUUGCACAAUGGGCGCAAGCCUGAUGCAGCGACGCCGCGUGGGGGAUGACGGCCUUCGGGUUGUAAACUCCUUUCGCUAGGGACGAAGCGUUUUUGUGACGGUACCUGGAGAAGAAGCACCGGCUAACUACGUG